UGCAAGUCGCACGAGAAUUCUUCUGCUUGCAGAAGAUAGUAAAGUGGCGCACGGGUGAGUAAUGCGUGGGCAAUCUUCCCUUGAAUCGGGGAUAACAUCGCGAAAGCUUUGCGGUAAUACCGGAUGACAUCCAUUUGUCUGCGGGCGAAUGGAUCAAAGGUGGCCUCUACAUGUAAGCUACUGUUUGAGGAUGAGCCUGCGUACCAUUAGCUAGUUGGUGGGGUAACGGCCCACCAAGGCGACGAUGGUUAGCUGGUCUGAGAGGAUGAUCAGCCACACUGGAACUGACACACGGUCCAGACUCCUACGGGAGGCAGCAGUGAGGAAUUUUGCGCAAUGGGGGAAACCCUGACGCAGCAACGCCGCGUGAGUGAUGAAGGCCUUCGGGUCGUAAAGCUCUGUCAAGUGGGAAGAACCUGCAGAAAGCUAACAUCUUUUUGCACUGACGGUACCACUGAAGGAAGCACCGGCUAACUCCGUG
rnacentral:rRNA from 1 species